GAUGAAGAACGCAGCGAAAUGCGAUACGUAAUGUGAAUUGCAGAUUUCAGUGAAUCAUCGAAUCUUUGAACGCACAUUGCGCCCCUUGGUAUUCCGGGGGGCAUGCCUGUUCGAGCGUCAUUAUCACCCCUCAAGCUCAGCUUGGCGUUGGGGCCGGCCCCUCACAGGGCCGCCCCUAAAAGCAGUGGCGGUGCCAUCUGGCUCUACGCGUAGUAAUACUCCUCGCGACAGAGUCCCGGUGGUGUCCUGCCAGAACCCCCCAUCUUUUUAAUGAUUGACCUCGGAUCAGGUAGGGAUACCCGCUGAACUUAAGCAUAUCAAUAAGCGGAGGA
rnacentral:misc_RNA from 1 species